GGCGCAGUGGUCUAGUGGCAUGAUUCCUGUUUCGGGUCACCGAAAUACCCUUCCAUUAAACGUGGAUACAGGAGGUCCCGGGUUCAAAUCCCGGCUGGGCCC